CCUACGGGGGGCAGCAGUAAGGAAUAUUGGUCAAUGGAGGCAACUCUGAACCAGCCAUGCCGCGUGCAGGAUGACGGCCUAUGGGUUGUAAACUGCUUUUAUACGGGAAGCGGUACCGUAAGAAUAAGGAUCGGCUAACUCCGUGCCAGCAGCCGCGGUAAUACGGAGGAUCCAAGCGUUAUCCGGAUUUAUUGGGUUUAAAGGGUGCGUAGGCGGGAUAGUAAGUCAGUGGUGAAAGCCCGCAGCUCAACUGCGGAACUGCCAUUGAUACUGCUAACCUUGAGUAUGUAUGAUGUGGGCGGAAUGUGCAGUGUAGCGGUGAAAUGCUUAGAUAUUGCACAGAACACCGAUUGCGAAGGCAGCUCACAAAACUAACUGACGCUGAGGCACGAAAGCGUGGGGAUCAAACAGGAUUAGAUACCCUUGUAGUC
rnacentral:rRNA from 1 species